rnacentral:lncRNA from 1 species
AUGCCGCCGCGGCGAUCAGCAGCAGCAGCAUCAGCCUCAGCACGACCGGCGCCGGAGCCCCCCUCCGGAAGCAUCCCCAGGGCGCCAUCGACCCCCGCGUCGCUCGCCUCGAGAGUUACCGCAGCAUCAGCCGGCCACCGUGCCCCCCCGCAGGCAGAUCACUACACCCACUGACCCACCACCACCGCGCGCGCGUCGCAGAUCUAGCCACAGCACAGGCCAGCGAGAGAGCGAUGCCGCGCGUGCCCCCACACGCAGCACCCACACCACCACCACCGGCGCGCGGCUCGGUUCCCGGAGCAGGGCGGCGGCGCAGCAGGAGCAGAAUCGAAUCUAGCUGCAAGUCUCCAGAGGAGAGAGAGAGGAGAGUGGGAGU